UUCAUGUAGUCGGGGUUCUACCUGGUUCGGUUCUUCAUGUGGUCAGGGUUCUACCUGGCCUGGUUGUUCAUGUGGUCAGGGUUCUGCCUGGUUGUUCAUGUGGUCAGGGUUCUACCUGGCCUGGUUGUUCAUGUGGUCAGGGUUCUACCUGGCCUGGUUGUUCAUGUGGUCAGGGUUCUACCUGGUUCGGUUGUUCAUGUGGUCAGGGUUCUACCUGGCCUGGGGUUCUUCAUCCGGGCGUGAUCAGGGUGACGAGGCAUACCAUGUGUGAGCGUGAUGACAUGGGGAUACGCACUUAUUAUACAUCACAACAUUUUAGGAAAUGGUCCUUCAAGCUUGAAAGACGGCGACGUGGCUGCCCUUUCUAGCCCCGACAUGAUGGUUGGCUGGCAGGCCCUGUGGGUUGUAUCUUCUGGACUCCUGUGCUGGGAUGCAAGUUUUUCUUGGGCUGAAUUGCAAUGCAUUUGUCGAUGCUAGCUGGACCUGGGAGUUGGGUCCCCCUUUGAAUCAGAAACCAUCUUGGUAACAUCCCAACUAGGGUUCUCUUCAUGCUGUAACCAAGCUCUUCUUCAGCUGAGGAGGAAAAGAAAUCCUCGCUGGGGCUUCAAGAUCUAUGAAGAGGAAUAUUGAAAUGUGUGCAAUGGUUCCCUCCCGUAGGCGCUGUGGUGUAUUCUAGUCGCUGAGAAAGAGCCCUUGCAUCCUACCAAUGGCGUCUCUCCUUAGGGAGUCCCUGUCACAGUCUUGACGGAUGUUCCAGGUCAUGUAACUGAUGCAACAGCCCUUUUGAACACUGUUUCUCCGGAGGGGGGCACGUCUACAGAACAGUAGACUUCAGACAGCACAGUAUCCUAACAUGCAUCUCUGGCCACUCGGACCACACCCGGAUCAAUAUGACAAUGCUCAUGCGAUGUGAAGCGAGGAAGUAGCCAAAAGACAGAUUAGUUAGCUUUUUUGUACACUGGCAAGCAUUGUUAAUUGGUAGGUAAUUAGUUAAAUGGGGUAACUGAAAUGUUUAGUCAAAAUGUUUUGUACAUAAACCAACAGCAACAAACUACCAGAUCGCCUCAAGGUAAGUCUGUUGGCUGUAUUUUGCACUGAGACGACCACAAGAUCUUCAUCGUCGUUCAGCUCAAGGUGAGGUGCUGGUUACGUUACUUAGGGAUGGUUCGUACUGGAACGUUACGAUUCCAGUAUGACGGGGCUUGGGGUUUCUGUAGAGGUUGGUAGUUAGUUUUGUGCAGUCUGUGAAGCUCUAAUGCUGCAGUACUGUGUGGUGGAGGAUAACUGGCAGUACGAUCAGGAUUGGCAAUUGCGUUAUGUCAUCCACACCUUAUUAUGGCGUCUGGCAGUAUGAUCAAUAUUGGCAUUUGCGUAAACCUCAUAACUAAUGAGCGUACCCAAUUAAGGUAAUCUGGCAGUGCCCCAUUUCUAUAGGUAAUCAUCUGCGAUUAUUGGUAAAUCCUUAUGCACUAGAAAUUAGGAAGGGCACUCUUAAAAUAUAUAUAUUUUUAAUUAUCCCACAAAACACCGCAAACUACUUUGAUAACUGCGCUCUACAAUCAACUCUCGAUUUUCUGCGCAUACAUUUAUCGGGUUGCGUAAAAGAUGGAGACGACGGCAUUUACCUACUACGGCUUUUUAUUUCUUCAACAACCCAGCAGCUGAAUGUGGCCAAGUAUCAUUUUACUAUCUAAAUUACUAUUGAUAUUGCUAGUGUUCUAAAUAUCUGGGCUGUGAUUUGCUCAAUAUAGUUUCUGCUAGACUUCAGAAACAAAAGGAAGGGUUAAAUGUAAGUGUGCUUAUUCACGUAUUAUCAAAUGGUAUAGCUGUUUAGAAAAGUAAAGGCAGUGAUGUAAAGCGCGUCGUGGUGUUUUUAAAUGGAUGAAUGUUGUGCUAACAGACGGGGGGAGACUCCAGGCCUUGCAGUCCUGAUCCUGUAUGACGCAGAAGAGGUCAAUCCAACCGCACAUUGAUCUCUGCAGCGUGGUCGGUGGGAGGAGAUGUGGCCGAGCUGUUGAACCAGGCUCUAUCGGUACCCGAUGGCCUUGGCUGAUGGAGGAACUGCAUCUGGAGGACGACCAUGAAUCUACCUGCCAACAGGUGGUACUGGUUUGCACUGGUUUGCAUGAACUGAACAUGGUGGACAUGAGGCAAAUUCCCUGCUUUUUGCUCCAGACCAGGACUCUGUGAGGGGUGGUGAUGGAGCCGUGCUGAGGACCCGCUGGUGAAGGACGUCCCUCGGUGGGGGGGCAAGGACAGCCGACCCUGAGGAUCCGCUCGGAUGUACGAUCGCUACGAUGCGACUGCAGAGGUCUCUGGAAGACCAGGAGUCCUUGGCUGAGGAGAGCUGAUGGAGGAGCCGUGCACCUGGAGAACCAUGAGUCUGCCUGCCAACAAGUAGUACUGGGAUAGGGAGGUGAUGGAGGACCUGCCUGGUGAAGGACGUCAGGGUGGGGCGAGUGACACCCGACUCCAAGGGGAUAUCCACUGAGGAGAGAGCUGAGGGAGCCAUGCAUCUGGAAGUUGAAAUGCUGUGUCCAGUCUGGGACAGACAGACCUGAGCUGCGUCAAGCCUGUAUCUCUGACCAGCUGGAGUCCCUUAGUGAUCAACAACCGCCACUCAUCGCUGGCCUGUGGAUUCAUCUCCUUCACACUCACACAUCAGGACUUUGGCCUGUGGAUUCAUCUCCUCCACACUCACACAACAGGACUCUGGCCUGUGGAUUCAUCUCCUCCACACUCGCGCAACGUGACCUUCUCACCAUCUGUUGCACGUUUGGAUGCACCUAGCGUGUUCCAUCGAGGGUUCCUUCCUCCCCACGGUGGGAGGGUUCCUUGUCCUUCAAGGCGUCGGGGUUCAGUGUUAGGGACAGAGUUAGGGACAGAUGGCUGCGCUGGAUUCACGAUACACGCUUUGUGAUCAAAAUGGGUUCGGACAUCGGACAAAUCGCUUCCCAAAAUGUUUCAAUGUGCAAACGAUUUUAUAAAAUGUAUACUUGUGGUGUUUAUAUAAAAUCGUA